rnacentral:rRNA from 1 species
UACAGAGGUCUCGAGCGUUGUUCGGAUUCAUUGGGCGUAAAGGGUGCGUAGGCGGCGAGGUAAGUCGGAUGUGAAAUCCCGGGGCUCAACCCCGGAACUGCAUUCGAUACUGCCCCGCUUGAGGACUGGAGAGGAGACUGGAAUUCACGGUGUAGCAGUGAUAUGCGUAGAUAUCGUGAGGAAGACCGGUGGCGAAGGCGGGUCUCUGGACAGUUCCUGACGCUGAGGCACGAAGGCCAGGGGAGCAAACGGG